GGAAGAACGUAGCGAAAUGCGAUAAGUAGUGUGAAUUGCAGAAUUCAGUGAAUCAUCGAAUCUUUGAACGCACAUUGCGCCCCUUGGUAUUCCAUGGGGCAUGCCUGUUCGAGCGUCAUUUGUACCUUCAAGCUUUGCUUGGUGUUGGGUGUUUGUCUCGCCUCCGCGUGUAGACUCGCCUCAAAACAAUUGGCAGCCGGCGUAUUGAUUUCGGAGCGCAGUACAUCUCGCGCUUUGCACUCACAACGACGACGUCCAAAAGUACAUUUUUACACUCUUGACCUCGGAUCAGGUAGGGAUACCCGCUGAACUUAAGCAUAUCAAUAAGCGGAGGA
rnacentral:misc_RNA from 1 species